rnacentral:rRNA from 1 species
UACGUAGGGGGCUAGCGUUGUCCGGAUUCAUUGGGCGUAAGACGCACGCAGGCGGCUUGGUAAGUCAUCGGUGAAAUCCCCCGGCUCAACCGGGGGGGGUCCGGCGAAACUGCCAGGCUUGAGGUCGGGAGGGGGAAGCGGAAUUCCGGGUGUAGUGGUGGAAUGCGUAGAUAUCCGGAGGAACACCAGUGGCGAAGGCGGCUUCCUGGCCCGAAUCUGACGCUGAGGUGCGAAAGCGUGGGGAGCGAUCCGG